AAAGUAUGUAUGGCAGCAUAAAUUUACAAUAUUCGUAAAUAACAUUAAUUAUUCAAAAGACACUAGGUGCAAGUGCAGCUCCCCUUUUGUGAACUACACAAAUAUUAGACAAAGGAUAAAACCAAAAGUUUUGACAUUAUUCAGUUUAAAUGUUAUUUAUAGUUUUCUUCCCUAUAUUUACAUUUAAAAAUCAUUCUGCAUUAGUAUUUCAUUAUGUAACCAUUAACUGCUAAUAGCACCAUGAGUUUUUCUGAUACUUUAAACGAUUUUUCUAAAUUACACAUAUCAGCAAUGAUCUUUUACUGCUGAGCAUGUGCCAGACCCAUUACCUAAAAAAAAAUCAAAUUACUACACGUUGCAGUGUUUUUUUUUUUCUUCGGAAAAUCAAGAAAUCAACCAAAUGUGGAUACAAUCAAGUAAUCAACAACAAAAAAAUCGUUUCUCUUCCACAUGUCAUAACGCGAGCUACUAAAGCCAAUCA
rnacentral:lncRNA from 1 species